GACGAACGCUGGCGGCGUGCUUAACACAUGCAAGUCGAACGGAAAGGCCCUGCUUUUGUGGGGUGCUCGAGUGGCGAACGGGUGAGUAACACGUGAGUAACCUGCCCUUGACUUUGGGAUAACUUCAGGAAACUGGGGCUAAUACCGGAUAGGAGCUCCUGCUGCAUGGUGGGGGUUGGAAGGUUUCGGCGGUUGGGGAUGGACUCGCGGCUUAUCAGCUUGUUGGUGGGGUAGUGGCUUACCAAGGCUUUGACGGGUAGCCGGCCUGAGAGGGUGACCGGCCACAUUGGGACUGAGAUACGGCCCAGACUCCUACGGGAGGCAGCAGUGGGGAAUAUUGCACAAGGGGCGGAAGCCUGAUGCAGCAACGCCGCGUGCGGGAUGACGGCCUUCGGGUUGUAAACCGCUUUCGCCUGUGACGAAGCGUGAGUGACGGUAAUGGGGAAAGAAGCACCGGCUAACUACGU
rnacentral:rRNA from 1 species